rnacentral:rRNA from 1 species
GUGUCAGCCGCCGCGGUAAUACGUAGGGCGCAAGCGUUGUCCGGAAUUAUUGGGCGUAAAGAGCUCGUAGGCGGUUUGUCGCGUCUGCUGUGAAAACCUAAGGCUCAACCUUGGGCUUGCAGUGGGUACGGGCAGACUAGAGUGCGGUAGGGGUGACUGGAAUUCCUGGUGUAGCGGUGGAAUGCGCAGAUAUCAGGAGGAACACCGAUGGCGAAGGCAGGUCACUGGGCCGCAACUGACGCUGAGGAGCGAAAGCAUGGGGAGCGAACAGGAUUAGAAACCCCAGUAGUCC